ACUGAUCAAUACAUAUGAUAGAAGGUACGUACAAGAUGCUGGAAAAACAUUUAUUCGCACCAAAAGAGCUCACUAGAAAACAAUGUGAUUGAAAAAUAUAAUUCCAAAAGACAUCAAAUGACACCACACAUAAAUGCGACCAAUCUUUACAAAGAAAGGGCGGACCCCAACAGCUUAAAGAUACACUGAGAUAACCUCAUAUGGUACUAAUAUCUUCAGGGGCUGGUGGCUGGAGGAGGAGCGAGGAAAGGAAUGGAAGGAAUUUUAGGGAGAGAGGUAGGGAUGCCUGGCACCGGGGGCAGGGCAGUUGGCACGGUUGGCAUGCUUGGAAGUGGCGGCAGAGCAGUGGUGGGCAAUGUUGGCUGGGUGGUGGGCAGCGUCGGCAAUGUGGGCUGAGGCAGGGUCGUAGGGAUGGCAGGUAAUGUGGGAAUGGACGGCAAUGGUGGCAGUGAAGUCGGUAUCGAUAUUUUGGGCAUCGUGGGAAGGGACGGAAUGGAUGGUAUAGUUGUCGGUAUUGGUAGUGUUGGUAUCAUGGGAAGGGACGGUAUGGAUGGCAUAGUUGUUUGUAGCAGAUGACGAGCUCCAAAACUUAUGUUGGCGGUUGAGAGAACUAGGGUGAUGAAGAGAACAAAGCUCUUUAAGGAAGUAGCCAUGUCAGCAACUGGAGUGUGGAUUUUUUGUUGUGAAAGGCUCAAGGACUUGAAAUUAAUGAGCUAAGAGCAAUGGAUUGCUACUUGUGUGAGUAAAUGGAGGAAGGAGAUGGGAGUUUAUAUAGCCAGAGGUAGUUCAAAUAGAAUUUUGGGUUGUGAUAAUAAGUUGGUGACUGGCUUUUGGGUAUGGUUGGGAAAAAGAAUAAAAAACAGAACAUCUCUUUUAUUGGUUCUUUGUUGGCUCACCUCCUCAGCUCAAAUAUCCUGACAGAUGACCAAUGCUUUCGUUGAAGUCAAUCUUCGCAUCUGUCUUUGUAGGAGGCAACUGAAUAACUUGCUAUUUUUCUUAGGUUGAUUGUCAACUUGCUUCUUGAUUUUAACAUAUAAUUCUAAGGUUGGUUUUUGUUGCAUUGACCGAUCUCCCCGAAAUUUGGGCCUCAUCAAUGAUUUAGUCUACUGUCAAUCUUCGCAUCUGUCUGUGGGAGGCAACUGAAUAACUUGCUAUUUUCUUAGGUUGAUUGUCAAUUUGCUUCUUGAUUUUAACAUAUAAUUCUAAGGUUGGUUUGUGCGGCAUUGACCGAUCUCCCCCAAAUUUGGGCUUCAUCAAUGAUCUAGUCUACUGUUAAUUGUUUGGGCUUUAGCCAUUAGUUAUAUAUAUAUAUACAAAUGAUAAAACCACUAAAAAUUCUAAAUUGGUAUACUCGUUCUAUAUUUACUCCAAAUUAACUUUUAUAUAAAAUUCUAAAAUAAUACAAUCAUGCCACAUUUAUCCCAAGCUAAUUUUAUGUUAUUUCUAGACCAUUACAUUUGCACCGCAUUUACUUUAACUUUUUUCUGUUACAAAAAAUUCUGAACAAAAACUCUUAAUUAUGUUAAAGCUAAUGAUUUGAGCUUGAGAUUAAGAAGUGAAGCGGAUAGGCAAAAAAAUGAGGCAUUUAUGAGCUAUUGGAGAGUUCUGAAAUUAAAGUAAUCAAUGAAUUCCAUUUCUAACCGAAUAAUUGGCUUAACCGAAUAAUUUUUGAAUAGAUUACUUUUAUGGACGUUGAAAUGACAAUAAAUGGGUUAAGAAGGCUGACAUUGAGAUUUUUUGUGAUAGAAAAAUAAAUUUGGGGUAAUUGUGGCACAAUUACCCCAAAUUAGGAUGUUAAUUGAGAUUUUUUGGGCUGACAUUGAAGAUGAUUCUGAAGGACGCGACAAAAGGUUUGUGAAUAUAGUAUUGGUAUUGUUGUUUCUUGUUUAUUAUCUACCUUUUUCUCUCCUUGUAUUUUAGAUUAAUAGAUUUAGAAAACAGCUUGAAAUACAAUUUAAAAAAUAUAUGUCAGCUUGAAUAUAUUAAUGGUGGAAAAAUCAUCCUAAUCAACUUAAAUUACUUAAGCCUAAGAAAAUAGUAUUACUAAUACGAUUUAAAUUACAAAAGGUAUCUAAAUUAUAUUGUUGAAAUAUCACAUGACUUGAUAACGGGUCUUAUAUACUUUUUAUAUACAUGUGAUGUUGGACAUACUUCACUCUCCAUUAUAAAUAGUUCAUCCCAUUUUGCAUUUCUUCCUCUGUUCGCUGGUGUUGGGAAUACUUCAAUUCUCAUGCUUUAUGAGUUUCGCCCUUUUGUGUCUCAUCUUAUUUUUCAGGUUAAACUUUUGACUCGAAUAAUUUUGGACAAAGAUGAUUCAAGCGCUAUGAAAUUCGACGCUUUGGUCAGAAAAUCUUUCUUUGCCCCAUAUCAUUACUCACCGAACUUUGAGUCUGUUGGAAUUGUUUAGCUGUUGUUUUCUGUCAUGUUUUCCUCUGUUUUCCUCUGUUUUUAUUUUAUUUUAUUAAAAAACAGCCAAGUUCAUUUAGUUAUGCAUUUAGUGUUUUUGCUAUUUUCUAGGAAGUUAAUAGCACAUUUGUGUGCAGUUAUGUGUUGCACGUACGUGAGCAGUUUCUGCUUUGUAUUUAGUGGUUGUACUUGACAGUUUUUUUCUUUAAGCACAAUACGUAUGAAGUGCUAUGCUAUGUUUUUUUUUUUUCUCUUUUCUCUCUCUCAAACAACAGAAAUUUUUCUGUUUUGAUUGUUGUUUUUAUGAGCUUUAAUAUUGGUAUCAGAGCAUUUGUGGGAUCUUAAAGGACUGUGAAGUGAGGGUAAGUGAGUGAAAUUUGCUUCCAAUCUGCAAAGAAAAAGCUGAUGGAGGCAGGAUCGAGUGGAUUCUCUGCAAUGGCUGCUCCAGUCUUUACUGGGGAAAAUUAUCAGGCUUGGGCAGUGAAGAUGACAGCCUUCUUGGAGGGUCAUGAUUUAUGGGAGGCUGUGGAGAAUGAUUAUGAGGUUGUUCCACUUCCAGACAAUCCGACCUUGAAUCAGAUAAAGUACCAUAAAGAGAGAAUCACAAGGAAGGCGAAGGCAAAGUCUUGCCUGUAUGCUGCUGUUUCACCUACUAUCUUCACAAGGAUCAUGAGAUGUGAUUCUGCAAAGGCAAUAUGGGAUUUCUUGAAGGAUGAAUACGAGGGAGAUGAGAAGAUAAGAGGCAUGAAUGUGCUGAAUCUCUUGAGGGAGUUUGAGAGACAGCAGAUGAAGGAUUCAGAGUCAGUGAAGGAGUACUCUGAUAGGCUGGUUGGGAUAGCUGAAAAAAUAAGAGUUUUAGGGACUGACUUGAAGGAUGAAAGGCUUGUUCAGAAGAUCCUGGUGUCUCUUCCAGAGAAGUUCGAAGCCACCAUAGCUUCUCUAGAAAAUACAAGAGACUUAGCUGAUAUAAAGCUUGCAGAAUUGUUAAAUGCUCUACAGGCACAGGAGCACAGAAUACUGAUGAGAAGAGAAGAGUUUGUAGAGGGUGCACUGCAAGCUAAAGUGAAGUCAAAUGAUGGAGGCAAAGGGAAGAAAUGGAUUCAGUCCAGAGAAAAUGCUGGUGACUCCAAGUUUGUAGCAAAAGAAGGAAAUUCUGGUGGGUCUAGCUAAUGGAAGAUGAACAAAAAGCCUUGUCAAUACUGUGGUGGAACUAAUCAUUAGUUUUUUUAGAUGUUGGAGAAAGCCUGAUGCUAGAUGCAAAAGAUGUCACAAGUUGGGUCACAUGGAAGCCAUCUGCAAAGAAAAAAAUUACCAGCAAGCAGGAAAAGCACAGGUAGCAUUGAAUGAAACUGAGGAAGAGCACUUGUUUGUAUCUUCUUUUUCUGAAUCUUCUGUUGGGAAUGAUACAUGGCUGGUGGAUAGUGGCUGUACCAAUCAUAUGACUGGCAAUUCGAAGUUGUUUAGGAGUCUAGAUAGGUCAGUUAGGUCCAGAGUCAGAAUUGGCAACGGACAGUAUAUCAAAGUGCAAGGGAAGGGUACAGUGGCUAUUGAAGGAAAUCAGAAGGUGAAGCUGAUGAGUGAUGUUCUUUUUGUGCUAAACAUUGACCAGAAUCUGUUAAGCGUUGGUCAAUUAGUUGAGAAGGGCUAUAAAGUGAAGUUCGAAGGGAAGGAAUGUCUUAUUAAUAAUGCAGAUAGCAAGGAAGUGCUAAGAAUCCCAAUGAGGGACAAGAGUUUCAUGUUCAAGCCACAAGAGAUGCAACAAAUGGCUUUAAAGUGCAAAGAAGAAAAUGUAGAGCUAUGGCAUAAAAGACUUGGGCAUGUUCACAGGAAGAGCAUGUCGUUUAUGCAGAGAAAUAGCUUGGCAGAUGACUUGCCAAGUUUGGAGGAGGAAUUUCCACAGUGCAGAACUUGUCUUCUUGGCAAGCAAGCCAGAUUUCCUUUCAAAGGAGGAGGUUGGAGAGCAUGUGAGAAGCUGCAAUUAGUCCACAUAGAUCUAUGUGGACCUAUGUCUAAGUCUUCUCUCAAUGGUAGCAGGUAUUUCAUUACCUUCACUGAUGAUAUGACUAGAAUGAGUUGGAUUUAUUUUUUGCAAGCCAAGUCUGAAGUUGCUGAUGUGUUUGUGAAGUUUAAAGCCUUAGUUGAGAAUCAGAGUGGGAAGAAAAUUAAAAUGCUCACGUUUGAUAAUGGUUCUGAGUAUACUGCUCACAAGUUUAAGUUGAAUUGUGAGCAAACAGGAAUUGUGCAGCAGUUCACUGCUCCCUAUUCACCUCAACAGAAUGGGGUCAGUGAGAGGAAAAACAGAAGCAUUAUGGAGAUGGCUAGAUGUAUGAUGCAGGAGAAGAAGUUACCUAAGAAGUUCUGGGUUGAAGCAGCUAAUACUGUAGUGUUCUUAUUGAACAUAUUGCCCACAAAGGCCUUAGAGAGGUCAACACCUUUUGAAGUAUGGUAUGGUGUUAAACCUUCUGUGAAAAAUUUGAAGGUUUUUGGGUGUUUGUGUUACACUCAUGUUCUUGAGGUUAAGAGGGACAAGCUGGAUAAGAAAGCAGAGCUUGGAAUCUUCAUUGGGUACAGUCUCCAAUCAAAAGCUUACAGAAUUUUUCACCUUAUGACAGGGAAGGUGACUGUAAGUAGAGAUGUUGUUUUUCUAGAGGAAGAUGAGUGGAAUUGGAUGGAAGGAAAGAGUGCAGAACAACAACAGUUCGAAAAACAACCUGCAACAAAUGUAGAGGUUGAUGAAGUUAUAGAUGGAUUGGAAGACAGUGUGGAUGAUUUACCAGUGAGAGACACAAGGUCACUUGCUGAAAUCUAUGAAAGAAGCAAUGUGGCAAUGCUUGAACCAUCUAACUUUGUGGAAGCUAAGGAGGAUCAAAGGUGGAUUGCAGCAAUGUAGGAGGAGAUUGCAAUUAUCCAGAAAAACCACACAUGGGAGCUUGUUGACAGACCGUCUGAUAAGAAUGUGAUUGGGGGUUAAGUGGGUGUUUAGAACAAAACUUAAUCCUGAUGGUUCUGUCAAUAAACACAAAGCUAGACUGGUGGUGAAAGGCUAUGCACAAAUAUGGGGAGUAGACUAUUCUGAAACAUUUUCUCCUGUUGCACGACUUGAUACAAUAAGGUUAUUGUUAGCUAUUGCAGCAGAGAAGGGGUGGCCUAUAUUUCAGUUAGAUGUCAAGUCUGCAUUUCUGAAUGGAGAGCUUGAGGAGGAGAUUUUUGCUGAACAACUUGAAGGCUUAAGUAUUAAAGGGUAAGAAGAGAGUGUAUACAGGUUGAAGAAAGCUCUAUACGAACUGAAGCAUGCUCCAAGAGCUUGGUAUGGGAAGAUAGAUCGAUAUUUGCAGGAUUUUGGCUUUGUAAAAAGCUUAAGUGAGUUCACUCUUUAUGUCAAGAAGGUGAAUCACAGUGUUGUAAUUCUGUCACUUUAUGUAGAUGAUCUAUUAGUGACGGGGAAUAAUAUGGAAUUGAUAGAGAAGGUGAAACGAGAUCUAUUUGCAGUUUUUGAGAUGUCAGACUUGGGAAAGAUGGCUUAUUUUUUUGGGUCUAGAAGUCAAACAGGCUUCAUAUGAGAUCUUCAUCUGUCAGAAAAAAUACAUGAAGGAAAUUUUAAAGAAGUUUCAGAUAGAAAAUUGUCAAAGUGUAAGCACUCCUAUGGCUGCUAAAGAGAAGCUGCAAAAGAAUGAUGGAAUAGAUGCAGUAGAUGCUUCUAUGUAUAGAAGUAUGAUUGGGUGUCUCAUGUAUCUUACAGCAACCAGACCAGAUAUGCUAUUUGCUGUGAGUGUUUUAUCCAGGUUUAUGAGUCGUCCUAGUCAGUUACAUUUGAUUGCAGCAAAAAGGGUCUUGAGAUAUCUCAAAUGAACAUUGUUCUUUGGUGUGAAGUUUAAGAAAUGUCAAAAGUUUAAUUUGCAAAGAUUUUUUGAUAGUGACCGGGCUGGUUCAGUCGAUGACAUAAAGAGUACGUGUGGAUAUUGUUUCAGUUUUGGUUCUGCUUGUUUCUCCUGGUGUUCCAAAAAGCAAGAGAUUGUAGCUCAGUCCACAGUAGAGGCUAAGUUUAUAGCAGCUACUGCAGCUGCAAAUCAAGCUUUGUGGCUGAAAAAGAUAAUGAAUGAUCUGUGGUUGAAUUCUAGUGAUUGCAUUGAAGUUAAUGUGGAUAAUCAGGCUGCUUUAGCAAUAUCUCAGAAUCCAGUUUUCCAUGGCAAAACGAAGCAUUUCAAAGUCAAAUUUUUCUUUCUGCGUGAGGUGCAACAAAGUGGCGAAGUUAAGUUGGUCUAUUGCAGAUCUGAAGAUCAGCUUGCAGAUAUGUUCACAAAACCACUUCAGGCUGGAAGAUUUGAGCUGUUAAGAGAGAAAAUAGGAAUCUGCAGCAGCAACUGAUCCAAUGAGGAGUUUGUUGGAAUUGUUCAGCUGCUGUUUUUUGUCAUGUUUUCCUCUAUUUUACUAUGUUUUUUUUUUCUAUUAAAAAAACAGCCAAGUUCAUUUAGUUAUGCAUUUAGUGUUUUUGCUAUUUUCUAGGAAGUUAAUAGCACGUUUGUGUGCAGUUAUUUGUUGCAUGUACGUGUGCAGUUUCUGCUUUGUAUUUAGUGGUUGUACUCGACAGUUUUUUUCUUUAAGCACAAGACGUAUGAAGUGCUAUGCUCUGUUUUUUUUAAUCUUUUCUCUCUCUCAAACAACAGAAAAUUUUCUGUUUUGAUUGUUUUUUUUUAUGAGCUUUAACAGAGUCGCCUAGUCAACAAAGCGACAACAACCCACAUAAUUUUCGUUGCAAAAGUUUAGCCCUUUAGCCACGAAAUAAAAUCUGUCGCUUUUGAGCGCCUACGCAUUUUGUCACGAAAUAUCCCGUGGUGAAAUGUAUACUUUUUGCUACAAAAUUACUCGAUUUCAUUUCCAAGGUCUAUUGCCAUGGGCCUUUAGCAAUGACAUAUUGGCCACUAAGAUUUUCGUGGCAAGAAGCCUUAGCCAUAAAAUUCCAGGCUUUUUAGCCAAGAAUUCCGCUGUAGUGAAAGGUCGAUUUUCUUGUAGCACCGAUUCACUAGCUACAAUUAGAAAAAGGUGGAUAAGGCCGUAUGAGAAGAACUCAUUUUUAUACUGAUGGUGUGUGUUAUAAUUACUAACAAACUUGGAAGAGGUCGAAAAGACAUGGAUGAAUAGAAGCCAACUCACCGAUCAGUACAUACAAGAUACUGGAAAAACAUUUAUUCGCACGGAAAGAGCUCACUACAAAACAAUGUGAUUGAAAAAAUAUAAUUCCGAAAGACAUCAAAUGACACACCACACAUAUCUGCUAAAAAAUCUUUACAAAGAAAGGGCGGACCCCAACAGCUUAAAGAUACACUGAGAUAAACUUAUAAGGUACUAAAAUCUUCAGGGGCUGGUGGCUGGAGGAGGAGUGAGGAAAGGAAUGGAAGGAAUCUUAGGGAGAGACGUAGGGAUGCCCGACACCGGGGGCAAGGCAGUUGGCACGGUUGGCACGCUUGGAAGUGGCAGGAGAGCAGUGGUGGGCAGUGUUGGCAAUGUGGGCUUAGGCAGGGUCGCAGGGAAGGUGGGCAACGUGGGAAUGGACAGCAAUGGUGGCAGCGAAGUCGGUAUUGAUGUUGUUGGUAUUGUGGGAAGGGACAGUAUGGAUGGUAUAGUUGUCGGUAUCGGUAGUGUUGGUAUUGUGGGAAGCGAUGGUAUGGAUGGCAUGGUUGUUUGCAGUAGGUGGCGAGUUCCAAAGCUCAUAUUGGCGGUUCAAAGAACUAGGGUGACAAAGAGAAUGAAGCUCUUUGAGGAAGCAGCCAUAUUGGUAACUACAGUGUGGAUAUUAUGUUGUGAAAGGCUCAAGGACUUGAAAUCAAUGACCAAAGAGGGAUGGAUUGCUAAUGUAGGCAAUGGAGGAAGAGGAUGGGAGUUCAUAUCACAAGAGAUGGAUGUGUGGAGUUUCGUAUUGUGACAAUAGGUUGGUGACUGGCCUUUGGGUAUGCUUAGGAAAAGAAAAACCGAACAUCUCUUUAUAGUUUCCUUGUUAGCUCCCCACCUCAGCUCAAUCUUCCACUUGCCAAAAGAAAAAACAAAGGUCAAAUCUGUUGUUUUUGUUCUGAGAGAUGGCCAUGCUGUCAUGAAGUCAAGCUUCACAAAUGUCUUUGUGGAGGGUAACUGAACAACUUGCUUCAUAACGUACCAAUAUCUAGGUUGGGUGUUAACUUGUUCCUGGAUUUUAACAUGUCAAUCUAGGUUUCUUUGUGUUGGCUUGACUGAUCUCUCCGACCUUUGGACUUCAACAAUUCCAUUACAAGUUGGUCUACCGUUAGAGCGAUGGUGGAUUUAGCCUUUAGGUACUAUUUUUUUUUCUCUUGAUUGCACAAAAGAUAAGAAGGAUGACUUUACUAGCCACAGACUUUGCACGAAAAAAUAGUUCCAGUCUUAUCUCCUUUGACUGUUAGAUGCUAGCAAAUAAGUUAUCUUCACAUGGUUAUAUCUAUUAUAUAUAAUUAAAGGUAGAGUUACGAGAGCAUUUGCUCUUAUACUUGCCAAGUGGCACUUCUCUUUAGGUUUAUGCUUGCCACAUGGCAUCACACUCGGCAUUGUAUUGCCACGUGCCCCAAUAAUCUUACCGAUUACUUACAUAUCGUUACACACUCUUGUAUGUUAUUUUCAAAAUGUAGAUAAAGUCGGCGUUUAAAUAUCUUUGGAUGUUAAAAAAAUAUAGAGUACAUUUAGCCAAAACACAUAAUUUAAACUUAGCCAAAAUAAUUGAAAUAAACUAAGAAAAGGAUAGCGAUGUGUGUUUUUUAUAUUAUAAAUGGAUAUUACGUUCUGCAUUAAUAGUCUUCCUCCUCCUCCUCCUCCUCCUUUGAUACAUUUUCACAUGGGUGAAUAGACAUUUCUUUUGCAUGGCUCUAACAUGUGUUUAUAGUGUUAUUUUUGCUGUUCUUUUUAAUUUACCUUUAGCUUUUGUAUUGAUUUUUUAACAUACUUUGUUAUUUUGGUUUUAUUUUUAUUAUUUGAAAAUUAUGCACACUUAAGAAAAAUUAGUAAAUGAUAAGAAUUCAAUUAGAAAAAUAGUAGUUGAAGGAGCUAGAUUUGGGAGAAAAGAAAUGGGUAGUGGGCUGACCAGCGAAUCAGGCAGAGUUGUUUAUGAUGCCCAGAUCAUUCCGGCGAAAAUCUGCGCCCUUUCGGCAUUCGAUCGGACCAUCUGUUGCGGAUGGAGGCUAUGCAUCUGUGCUUCAUAAUACACAAUUUUUAUGGCAAAAUUGUUCAAUCAGUUCUAAACAUAUUAUAUAGAUAUCAAUUGAGUCUUUAAUUUUUGCGUAAAGUUAUAAUAUAGCCCUCUUGGUAAUUUUUCGUUGAAAAUCAGUGACGUGACUAUGUGCCAUGCAAAAUAACCGGUGACGACGGGAACACCACAUUAGCAAUUUUCCUCGAAAAUUAACUGUGAUAAUUAAAUUAAAAUUUUGUGCAAAUAUUUUGAACUCAAUUGGCAUUUGCAAAAUAAAUUUGAUGCUUGUUGGGAAAUUUUCCUAUAAUUUUAUCGACUGGUCAAUUCUAUUUUUUGCAGGUGCUGAUGCUCUUUUGACUUUUUGGUUGAUUGUCGACGAGGCUGGACAGCUAUUUAUAUGAUAAUUAGACUUUAAUUUUUUUUUUCUUUUGGAUUGAUCAUCAAGGAUGUUAGACCACCUUUAGGUAGUGAUAUGAUCUUGGUUUUUCUGGUUUAUCAUAUAGGAGACUGGACUAUGUGCCUGCUCAAUGCAAAAUAGUCACCGUCGCUCGUUGCUUGGCGUCGCUGUCGCCCGGCCAGGGGCGAGGGCUGGACACGCCAUAUCUGGUUUGGGUGAGGUCAACGGUUGCCUGGGCGAGGGCGAGGGCUCCCCUUGCUAGAUCUGGCGAGGCCGGCCCUUGCCCAGGCUAGGGCGGCCUCGCCCGGUGUCGCCGUUGCCCGGCUGACGCCCAGCGAGGCUGCCCUGACUUGGGUGAGGGCUCCCCUCGCUUGGCCGUGGCCUCGCCUGUGGUGGGCGAGGCCAAUCGGCUAGCUGUGGCCGAUGGCCGGCCACCGAAAAAGGCCAACAAAGCCAAUAAAAAAAAAGAAAUGACGAGGAAAGAUAAGAAAAUACAAGAUAAUACAGAAAUAAUAAAUAAUAAAAAUUCAAAAAAUUCAAAAAAAAUAAAAUAUAUUAAAAUUUAUCACAUCAGCGUCGCAGUCUACGUGGCAUCGUCGGUGUCAUCAUCAGCAUUUCAGGCUUAAAAUUGGCCAGAUGGACUGAUCGGCAAGAAGUGAAAAUGUUUAGGACUCAAUCGGCAAAGUAAAAGGUUUAGGACUGAAUGACAAAAGUGCAAUAAGUUUAGGAGUUUUUGGAAAAUUUCCCUGAAUUCUUUGUGUUGCCUUGACUGAUCUCUCCUAACUUUGGAUCACUUACAUGAUGUUCUACUAUUAGAGUGAUGGGAUUUAGCCUUUAGGUACUUUCUUUACGAAAUUUAAUGCUUUAGUCUAGAAAAUCUUUCUUGUCCUCGUAUCCUUAGUCAUGAAAUUUUGUGUAGCCAAAGCUACAAUAGCCCACGUAUAUUUCGUUGCAAAAGGUUGGCCCUUUAGCCACGAAAUGAAAUUUGUUGCCAUUGAGUGUCUAUUUUACGCCUUUUGCCAUGAAAUAUCCCAUGGUGAAGAGUAUACAUUCUACUACAAAGUUACUCGAUUUCGUUUCCAAAGUCUAUUGCCACAGGCCUUUGGCCAUGACAUCUCUGCCAUGAAGAUUUUCGUGGUAAGAAGCCUUAGCCAUGAAAUUCCACGCUUCUUAGCCAAGAAUUCUGCCGCGGUGAAAGGAUGACAGAAGGUACAGACAGGAUACUGGAAAAACAUUUAUUCGCACCAAAGAGCUCACUAGAAAACAACGCGAAUGAUGAAUAUAAUUCCAAAAUAUAUCAAAUGACACAACACACAUGUAUGCGAGCAAUCUUUACAAGGAAAGGGCGGAGCCCAACAGCUUAAAGAUACACUGAGAUAACUAGACAUGGUACUAAAAUCUUCAGGGGCUGGUGGCUGGAGGAGGAGUGAGGAAAGGAAUGGAAGGAAUCUUAGGGAGAGACGUAGGGAUGCCCGGCACCGGGGGCAAGGCAGUUGGCACGGUUGGCAUGCUUGGAAGUGGCGGCAGAGCAGUGGUGGGCAAUGUUGGCUGGGUGGUGGGCAGCGUCGGCAAUGUGGGCUGAGGCAGGGUCGUAGGGAUGG
rnacentral:lncRNA from 1 species